AUUGAACGCUGGCGGCAUGCUUUACACAUGCAAGUCGAACGGUAACAGGCCGCAAGGUGCUGACGAGUGGCGAACGGGUGAGUAAUGCAUCGGAACGUGCCCAGUCGUGGGGGAUAACGCAGCGAAAGCUGCGCUAAUACCGCAUACGAUCUAUGGAUGAAAGCGGGGGACCGUAAGGCCUCGCGCGAUUGGAGCGGCCGAUGUCAGAUUAGGUAGUUGGUGGGGUAAAGGCUCACCAAGCCAACGAUCUGUAGCUGGUCUGAGAGGACGACCAGCCACACUGGGAGUGAGACACGGCCCAGACUCCUACGGGAGUCAGCAGUGGGGAAUUUUGGACAAUGGGCGCAAGCCUGAUCCAGCAAUGCCGCGUGCAGGAAGAAGGCCUUCGGGUUGUAAACUGCUUUUGUACGGAACGAAACGGCUCUGGUUAAUACCUGGGGCUAAUGACGGUACCGUAAGAAUAAGCACCGGCUAACUACGUGCCAGCCGCCGCCGUAAUAC
rnacentral:rRNA from 1 species